UUUUAAAAUUCAACUCGACCCGGUUGAAUUAAAAAUGAAAAACCUUAAGAGAUGUGAGUGAAAGAUGUCCGAAUCAAUCAACAAUGGACAACAACUAAGAACAUUUUAUUUUUUGGUUUUAUCAUAUAUGAAAAUUUGAACAAGGAAAAGAUAUACAGAAUUGAUCCAGAGAGCAGCACCAUUCAUAAGCCCUAGCAAAACUCCCAGAGAGCAGCACCAUCAACGUUUUUUACGUAUCCAUUACUCUAUCCGAGAUUCCAAAACGCUCAAUAAAAACCCUCGUCAUCCGUCGAAGCCGGCAUCGGCUGCUGGGACCUCCGCACACGCGCCGAGCAGCUCCGCUACAAGCUCUGCGCCUCUCCGCCUCACGGCCUCAUCUGCGUCGGCGAACGGUUCCUGGCCUCCUCUCAGCUCUGCGAGCAUUCUGCCUCCUCUGGCUCUGUCCAGUACUGGUCCUGGUGCAAGCCGCAAGUUGAUGUCAAGAGUUUCCCAGUAGAACCGAUCAAUCCUUUCGCUGCGAACAGCGAAGGCACGUCGGGGAAUAUCUACUUGUGGAAGGUUAAUACUGGUAGACCGCUUAAGAAAUUGCAUGCUCACGACAGAGGUGUUAGUUGCUUGGUAUUUUUGGAUGAUGGCUCCCUGCUGAUUUCGGGGUUGGAGAAUGGAGGCAUUAGAGUUUGGUCUCUUAUAGGGUAACCAUUUCUUAUCGUAUAUUUUUGUAUCUUUAUAUUGCUUUUAGUUAUGCACUGUAAACGGUUAUAUCUCUAUCCGUUGAAGGUAUGGCGUGGCCUUUAGUAAAUUAUAAACUGUAUUUGGUAUGAUAAUAAUGUUUAGUAGUGGACGGAUCAUGUACUGAACAAUGAUGCCAAAGUUAGUUAAAAUGGGGUCUGGAUAGUAUAAGAGAAAACGAUUCAUGAAUUCCCCAUCCACGUAUGGAUUGUUUGUCUUGACUUCUUGAUCUUUUACUU